UACGUAGGGGGCAAGCGUUGUCCGGAAUCAUUGGGCGUAAAGAGCGCGUAGGCGGCCCGGUAAGUCCGCUGUGAAAGUCAAGGGCUCAACCCUUGAAUGCCGGUGGAUACUGUCGGGCUAGAGUCCGGAAGAGGCGAGUGGAAUUCCUGGUGUAGCGGUGAAAUGCGCAGAUAUCAGGAGGAACACCAAUGGCGAAGGCAGCUCGCUGGGACGGUACUGAGCUGAGGCGCGAAAGCAUGGGGAGCGA
rnacentral:rRNA from 1 species